rnacentral:rRNA from 1 species
CACCGGCGGCCCGAGUGGUAACCGCUUUUAUUGGGUCUAAAGGGUCUGUAGCCGGCCAAGUAAGUCCCUUGGGAAAUCUGGCAGCUUAACUGUCAGGCUGCUAGGGGAUACUGCUAGGCUUGGGACCGGGAGAGGUGAGAGGGACCUUGGGGGUAGGGGUGAAAUCUUGUGAUCCUCGGGGGACCACCAGUGGCGAAGGCGUCUCACCAGAACGGGUCCGACGGUAAGGGACGAAAGCUAGGGGCACGAACCGG